GCGUUUCUUUAUUGUUCCCAUGUCCAUCGGUGUUUUAAUUAUCUUAUAAUAAUCGGGGAGAUUCAGCUUGACAGCAUCCACGGGCUGCUGGAAAGGCCACGCAAACUGGUGCUUCCAUAGCGUUUUGAGCACCACUUUGAGCAGGUACUGCAGCUGGUUGGUCUGCCGCUUGGGUUUGUUGGGGUUGGAGGUCUCUGGAGGAGGGGGGUUGACGCCGACGGUGCUGCCUUGCUGGGGUUGCGCCUGCGCCUGCGCCGUCGACAUCUGUGUGGCUUCCAGGCCGUCGCCCAUCACUGGCAGAUUUCUCAGUCUCGUCCCGGGGCCGCUCUCUGCAGACAUGCUAUUGAUCCCAUU
rnacentral:lncRNA from 1 species